GCUAGCUGGGCAUACCACCCUGAACAUGCCUGAUCUUGUCUGAUCUGGGAAGCUAAGCAGGAUCAGGCCUGGUUAGUACUUGGAUGGGAAACCACCUGGGAAUACCAGGUAUUGUAGGCU
rnacentral:rRNA from 1 species